rnacentral:rRNA from 1 species
GACGAGGGGUCCUAGCGUUGCUCGGAAUCAUUGGGCGUAAAGCGGGUGUAGGCGGCUUCAUAAGUCAGUUGUGAAAGCCCCAAGUUCAACUUGGGAAGUGCUUCUGAUACUGUGAGGCUUGAGUAUGGGAGAGGGCAGUAGAAUUCCUGGUGUAGUGGUGAAAUACGUAGAUAUCAGGAGGAAUACCGGUGGCGAAGGCGGCUGCCUGGCUCAAUACUGACGCUGAGACCCGAAAGCGUGGGGAUCAAACAGG